ensembl:lncRNA
AGUGUAUACAAUAAGGUUAGACAGAGUCAAGGGAUAGCCUGGUGUGAAGAAAGUAGAACACCCCUCCAAGACAGAAACAAAAUCUAUCUUCAGUUUAAAGGAUAAACACUAUUGCUGCUUACAAGAAAAUUUGAGUCAUAAUGUUCUUGGACACUGAUGGGAAUGUCUAAUUAAGGAUUUCACAUCUAUUUCUCCAACUUCUUCCUGCAUAACCAGGUGUGAAGAACGCUAUCUCCUAUAUGAAAAGCGCAGACUCCAGAGACCCGAAUCCUGGCAUGCUGCAAUCCAUGGGGUCGCAAAGAGUUGGACACAACUUGGCAACUGAGCAAAAACACCAAUUUUUAAAGUGUUGUACAUUUAUAU